AGUUCCUGUGAAGGGAAAUCUUAACACUACAGCAUACAAUGACAUUUCUGUGCUUCCAGUGGAAAGGCACAAAGUGAGGUCCAUACAGAAAUGGUUCGACUAGAUCGGUGUGGAAGAACUUGACUGGCCUGCAUAGAGACCUGACCUCAACCCCAUUGAACACCUAUGGGAUGAAUUGGUAUGCCGACUAAGAGCCAGGCCUAACCACCCAAACUCAGUGCCCGACCUCACUAAUACUCUUGUGGCUGAAUGGAAGCAAGUCCCAGCAGCAAUGUUCCAACAUCUAGUGGAAAGCCUUCCCAGAAGAGCAGAGGCUGUUAUAGCAGCAAAGGGUGGACCAACUCCAUAUUAAUGCCCAUGAUUUAGGAAUGAGAUGUUCCACGAGUAGGCGUCCACAUACUUUUGGUCAUGUAGUGUAUAUUGCCUCUGGUGGCCUUGCGUGCGCGUAUGUGUGUGUGCGCGUGCUCGUUACGAGACAGGGACAUUUUCAUUGUUCAUUUAUUAUGGAUACCCACAUACAUUUUGUUAUGUUAUGCUCAUCAAAAACAAUGCCUACCACUCUGUCUCCAUGUACCAGAAUGCUGCCGUUGGUAACAACAUUCUCACCUUUACUGUUAAGGCUGCAAGCUCUACCAACAAAAUAUGAUCUAGCACUCUGGUACCCUGCAAACCAUGAUCCAUUUUGUAUUCUACAUGAUUCAAAUGCAACGGAGUCCAUUGCCCAUGUUGUAAACGGCUGCUGUUCAUAGAAGGAUGCCAAAAAGCUGCUUAAAUACCAGCCCCUCGUGGCACGCUGGGAUGCCUCGGGUGUAGGUGCAAGCUGGUGGCGCUGAUAUUUGGCAGUCUCGGCCAGGUACACAGGCUUGCAGGGCGUGGCCUCCAGUAUGCGGGCCUGACAAAAAACUAGGGCAAAGCAAUUGUCUAGGUACUGCUCUGUUUCAGCUGUCGUGGGCAGCCUAGCUGUGUGGAGAAGGUACUGCUCUGUUUCAGCUGUCAUGGGCAGCCUAGCUGUGUGGAGAAGGUACUGCUCUGUUUCAGCUGUCGUGGGCAGCCUAGCUGUGUGGAGGAGGUACUGCUCUGUUUCAGCUGUCGUGGGCAGCCUAGCUGUGUGGAGGAGGUACUGCUCUGUUUCAGCUGUUAUGGGCAGCCUAGCUGUGUGGAGGAGGUACUGCUCUGUUUCAGCUGUUAUGGGCAGCCUAGCUGUGUGGAGGAGGUACUGCUCUGUUUCAGCUGUUAUGGGCAGCCUAGCUGUGUGGAGGAGGUACUGCUCUGUUUCAGCUGUCGUGGGCAGCCUAGCUGUGUGGAGGAGGUACUGCUCUGUUUCAGCUGUUAUGGGCAGCCUAGCUGUGUGGAGGAGGUACUGCUCUGUUUCAGCUGUUAUGGGCAGCCUAGCUGUGUGGAGGAGGUACUGCUCUGUUUCAGCUGUUAUGGGCAGCCUAGCUGUGUGGAGGAGGUACUGCUCUGUUUCAGCUGUUAUGGGCAGCCUAGCUGUGUGGAGGAGGUACUGCUCUGUUUCAGCUGUCGUGGGCAGCCUAGCUGUGUGGAGGAGGUACUGCUCUGUUUCAGCUGUUAUGGGCAGCCUAGCUGUGUGGAGGAGGAGGUACUGCUCUGUCGUGGGCAGCCUAGCUGUUUGGACAAGGAGAUUAUUUCUGUAACCUUGAGUGCAACGCAUACACAUUUAGAUCCUUUUCUUGUACAUUUGACUGGUGGAUUCAAAUAAAGUAUGUAGAGUGUGUGUGUGUGUGUGUGUGUGUGUGUGUGUGUGUGUGUGUGUGUGUGUGUGUGUG